rnacentral:rRNA from 1 species
AUUGAACGCUGGCGGCAGGCCUAACACAUGCAAGUCGAACGAGUGGCGGACGGGUGAGUGAUGUCUGGGAAUCUGCCUCAUGGCGGGUGAUAACUACUGAAAACGGUAGAUAAUACCGCAUACUACCAUUUGAGCCCUGGUGGGAUUAGCUUGUUGGUGGGGUAACGGCGCACCAAGGCUACGAUCCCUAGCUGGUCUGAGAGGAUGACCGGCCACACUGGAACUGAGACACGGUCCAAACUCCUACGGGAGGCAGCAGUGGGGAAUAGUGCACAAUGGGCGCAAUCCUGAUGCAGCCAGGCCGCGUGGAUGAAGAAGGCCUUCGGGUUGUAAAGUACUUUCAGCGGGGAGGCGUUACCCGCAGAAGAAGCACCGGCUAACUCCGUGCCAGCAGCCGCGGUAAUUC